rnacentral:rRNA from 1 species
UACGGAGGGUGCAAGCGUUAUCCGGAUUCACUGGGUUAAAGGGUGCGUAGGUGGGCUGGUAAGUCAGUGGUGAAAUCUCCGGGCUUAACUCGGAAACUGCCAUUGAUACUAUCAGUCUUGAAUACCGUGGAGGUCAGUAGAAUAUGUCAUGGUAGCGGUGAAAUGCUUAGAUAUGACAUAGAAUACCAAUUGCGAAGGCAGCUGGCUACACGAAUAUUGACACUCAGGCGCGAAAGCGUGGGGAUCAAACAGG